rnacentral:lncRNA from 10 species
CAGGUCUCACUAACAGCUGAAUAGGCAGGCCUCCAUGACAACUGUUUCAGCACUGACUGAGUGGUUAAGAUAAAUAUUAAAAACUGAUGGGGCCAAUGUCCUCAUACAAAGGCUGGAAUGUAACAAAACCCACCAAGAGUUUUGCCUAGGUCUUCCCUGGGCCUUGAAGUAUGACAAGAUAACGAAGGAAUUCCUAACAGGACCCAUUUAGGAUUAAACAAGUUUUAUUGGGGGUCUAAAGGAACUCCCUAGACCUCCACAAACAAGCUUUACUGGGGACUAAAGGAACCUCCAUGAUUUAGCAGGAGACAAGAUAAGGGUAAUCACCCUGGCACCUGGACCCAUUUAGAUUAAGAAAAUUUACUAAGGCUCCAGAGGAAGGUCUUCAGUACUCAGAUUUUAGUUAUAGGUUAGAAGUUGAUUACUUGGCCGGAUGGGGUGGCUCACGCCUAUAAUCCCAACACUUUGGAAGGCCGAGGCAGGUGGAUCACCUGAGGUCGGGAGUUUGAGACCAGCCUGACCAACAUGGAGAAACCCCAUCUCUACUAAAAAUACAAAAUUAGCCUGGCAUGGUGGUGCACACCUGUAAUCCCAGCUACUUGGAAGGCUGAGGCAAGAGAAUCACUUGAACCCAGGAGGCAGAGGUUGCAGUGAGCCGAGAUCGCGCCAUUGCACUCCAGCCUGGGCAACAAGAGCAAAACUCCGUCUCAAGAAAAAAAAAAAAAAAGUUUAUUACUUAUGUCUUUAGAUGAAUGCACACUUACAUACUUACACAUAGACAUAUAGCUUAGAAGGUGUAUAAGCUCUGGAAAACUUUAUAAUUUUGAGUUGGUCUGGCAAUAUUUCCCAGCCUUCUCUCUGUACCUAGUUAUAUAAAUAAACUCCCUUCUAUCCAGUUCAUCUGCAUCUCAUUAUUGGGCCAUGAGAAUAAGCAUAAAACAAACCUUCCUUUGAUGCUGGUAUCUAAGCACCAAAAAAUAGAUACCAGCAUCAAAAGAAGGUUUGGAUACAACCUUCUUUCAUUUUGUUUGGAUACAAGGAGCUAGUUUGGGUCUGCUCCUUUAAUGUAUCUAUGCUCAUAUUUUCCUUCCUCAAUUAUAAAAUAAAGUAGAGGUGAACACUGUGGUUAGCCAUAGAUUAACCAAGAAAGCAGAAAUCAUCUCAAAUGUUCACAGCAGAAGGAAUGGAAAGCAGUGGUGGGUCCAUGAAGAGUGGAGAGGCUGAGAAUUAAACAGAGGGCUCUAAAAUAAUCCUGGGAGAUUGACGAUAGCAGGAAGUCUUUAUCAUUCUUGGGCUGGAGAGACAAAAGGAAAACAUGGAAUUACUGGCACCAAGAGGACCACUCUGGGAGACUGGAUCUCUGGUGGCCUCGAUACAAUGGGGGCUGGAGUCACAGAGAAGAUAAAGCCACUGGAGAGGCCACCUUAGGCUGAAAACAGGAGGGAGUGUCUUGAUAGCUCCCUCCCCCAAAAACCGCUCCUCACCCUGCUCUCUAAUUUUCCAUGGUUGAUAUAUUCCUGCUGCCCGUUGACUCAGUCCUUUCAGAAAUUCUCUAGAGCCUGAAAAAGUCACCCUGCCGAGGAUCAACUUCUUCACCCCAGAACAAGGCAGAGCAGAAGGAUGGAUCUGAGUGCAAACAGGUCCAGGACCAGCACACCAUAUGGAAUGGUCUUUGUUUUGUUACAUGUAUACAUAUAUGUAAAUAUAUAUCCCCAAAGCCGACCUUGAGAAGGAAAUUCACUGAGCCAUUCCUUACGAGUGUUCCCAGGAGAAACAGGAAAGUGAGAAGUCAAGUCGGUCCAAGAAGAAUAAAGAGGCCAAGCCCAGUUGCAUAUCAGCAAUCUCACAGAGAGAGCUGCCUCAGUCCCUCGAGGCACAGUGACCCAUGAUAUUCAAGGUGGUGGCUCCUUUGUCAGAUGAAUUCCUGAGUGACCAUAAGCAGAGAUCUCCUAACGACCCAUGAUGGGUAGUGUGAGCAAGUAUGAACCAUCUAGUGGAGCAAGAAAUAGUGCCUAUAUAAGCACUGAGAUUUGAGGAUGGUUUGUUACCAGAGAAUUGCCUACCUUAUCCUGACUGAUAAUCAGAUGUAAUAAUAUACCUCUGACUGGUGUUGGCUCCAUCAUACACCAGGGAAACAGCUGUUGUCUAGUACUUAUAACAUGUAACUCAAAACCCCUGGUUUAAAUGAAUUCCUGAGUGCAUUAUGCAUAACAUUUGUAUAAUUGGCUUUUGUAAACAAGACAUUGCUAUAGUUCUUCACAGAAUUAUGCUAAUAUCGAUAGAUUAUUCUUCAUUUAUCUUUAUCUGUUCUGAGCGACUGAAAGAGGAAAGAUUUGUUAUGAGAACACAUAAAUACAGUAUCAUGAAAGGGAAAGAAAAAGUUCUGUUUUGCGGAAGGCAUUAGUCCCCUUUGUUAGUCAAAUGAAGAGAGACUAUUCAUUAUACUUUAAUCUUAAGGAAUCCAAGAUUGCUAAACUAAUGGAUGACAUGUGACUAAGGAAUGAAUUAGUUGAACUUUAUUCUAUGAGUUGCCACCAUGAACUGUGCAAUUAUAGCCAGGUCCUUUAAAUGCUUUGAAUGUUUUUCAUGUGCGGAUAAGAUUAUUUCAGACCUACCAGGCCUUGAAGAAGGAUCAAAGUCUUGUCAGAGCUUUUGCCUAAAAUUGAAAAUAUCAUGUUACUUGGACUAUUUAUUUAUCCCUGCACCUUGUUGCAAAAAGGAUUUUAAGUAGAUGGCAUAUUAUUAUUUUAUUAACACAUUAAAAAAAACCCAUAAGAGGAUUAUAGAGUUUUUCCCUAACCUACUUCUCAGAGUGUUUUAAGCACACUGUAGAAUUUAUUCACUCAUGAAUUUGAUACAAACUAAAGUGAAAAUCUCUUCUCUGGAACCUCAUAAUGCUUAGAAAGCAUAGUAACACGUUCGGAGAAAGAGGAAGAUCAAAUUUAGAGGAAGCUCUUGUUUGAGUUUCUGCCACAAUGAGUUUCCCAUUCUAGAUAUUAAAAUAAUAGUAUAUACCCCAAAUAAAAUACUCAAGUUUCUGUAAAUUAAGGAUUAUGACUUGAUUAUACAUAUUUUAGAUUUAGAGCAUGCAUAAAAAAAUAUCUUUUUCACCAACUAGUAGAAAAAAAUUCAAAAUAAUGUGAUGAUUUUAAUCUUCCAUGAUAUGUAAUCUAAAAUAUCAAAACAUCACUGACUUUGCAUUAUAAUUAAAUAUAAAAGGUGACUGACUUAAGCCAAAUUUAAAAAAAAAAAUUGAGACAAGGUCUGUGUCAUCAGAGGUGGUAAGCAGUAGUGCAAACACAGCUCACUGCAGCAUUGACCUCCUGGGCUCAAACUCUCCUCCCAUCUCAGCCUCCCAGGCAGCUGAGAUCACAGAUACACACCACCACACCCAGAUAAUUUUUUUUUUUAAGUAAGGACAAAAUCUCACUAUGUUGUCCAGGUUCCAAAUAAAUUUUAAGAGCCUAAUUUUAACUAUUCAAAAACUAAGCAAAUACCUGAAAAUUAUUUCUUCUGAAAAACACAUACUAAAUAAAAAUCUAUUAUACUUAUGGAUUUUCAGAGGUCUUCAUAAGUAUUAACUCAUAAAUUCUUGUGGCUUUCCCAAUUGUCACAUGUCUCCUUUCAUGAAAUAUUUUGUAAAUUUUUACUAUGGUAUUGGACAGAGCAUGAACCUCAGAAUUGCCCAAAUCUGAGUUCACCGACUUAAUCAAGCACAUAUUAAUAUAUAAUCUUGGAUAAUUUAUCAAUUUAAACUGAAGAGCUUUAUCUUCAACAUUUCUAAAUUAUGCGUGUUAUAAACAAUAAAUCAGGUUAUUCCAUUACAUUUAAUAACUAGCAACCCACACUGUGAUAAGUGUCAGUAAUGCAACAGCACGGUAAUAUAUAGGCAAAGCACCAACCAGAAAUUAAGUAUCUGUUGAAUUUCUCUCUACUCUCCUUUUCCCUCAACCAAUUCCUGAAUAAAUGUAGGGAGAAACAGGAAUGUUUUAAGAAAUCUUCUUCAACUAAUAUGAAAUAGGAUAUCUGAAGACUCAUCCUUCUGUCUUCCUAGUCUAUAGUUUGUUCCACAGCUAUUUUUGUGACUAAAGAUACUAAAAUUAGACAUUAUUUUUAUCUCUAAAUUUCAAGGCAGUUGUUAAGAACUAUGACUAAACUACCAAAAUAAAGAAACAUAGAGGAAUAAUGAACAUUGACUACAAACUAAACUGAUUGUCACAUAUUCUAUGUGGUGAUUUGAGAGACUGCUUCUCAUACACUGUAAUUCAAUGAAAAAAUAGCAUAUACAAAAUGAUUACUUAGUAAGAAAAAUUCAAACUUAAAACGAGUUGUCAAUGUGACAUGCCAUGUUAGAAAUGAAUAAUAAAAUGUGUGCCAAGGGCUAAGUAAGGCAUUUUUCCCUUUUUUUCUCUUUUAAAAAGGACUACAAAAGAGCAGUUUUUUUGGUUAAAAGAAUUAAUGAAAAUUGCUAAAUCAAUGACGCUUUCAGAAGUUCCCUGUUUUUGACAUCAGAGUCAUAUUAUAAUGCUCUAUUUCCUGUUUCCUCACCUAAACAGAAUUUUGCUUCAGGCAAUUUUUUAUCUCAACUUCUGUUUGUAGAAACCAGGGACAUUUAUUGAAUUGUUUCUGGCUGGCUAUUUGAUCGUAACAAAGCAUUUAAAUGAUACUGAUGCCCUGGCUUGAGCAACGGAGCAUCCCAGACUUUCAGUUAGUUGCACACAGCACACAUACAACUCAUUUGAGUUACAGCUAAAUGCAAUUACAGGCCUCAGAGCUAAUAUAUAGAUCACUUCUUAUUUAAGGCAAUUCACCUUUGAAUUGGUUAACCUUUAAUUGUUCAUAAAAUAAUAAGAUGGGAAACAAAGUUGCUACCCAAUAUGUUAGUUUCCCCAAAUAAACACUUAUUUAAAGGUUCAUUUGUUAAUCAAGUAUCUGGAAGUUGAAAUACAUUUUUAUGAAAGGAAAUAAAUUUUAGGUGAUGAUUAGGUUUUUAUCAAGAGCUGAAGUUUUUAAUAACGAACAGGGAGAGAUACUAUGGCAAAACAGUAAUUGAAUAAAACAUAAAUUCAAUAAAAUGAUAUGAAAAAUCAAUGUUUGACAUUUAUUGUGCAGUGCUGGCUGGGUGCAGUGGUAUGAGCCAUACCACUGUGUACAUCCUCAUCUGUCUACCAAAUAUGGCCCCCAGGCAGUUUGCUCAAGGUCACAUACUGGUGGAACAAUAAUUAGAAACAUUUUAUCAUCCUCAAUUUAAUUCUCUUUAUAUUUGACUCAGGAUAAAUGUCAAACAUUGAUUUUUCAUAUCAUUUUAUUGAAUUUAUGUUUUAUUCAAUUACUGUUUUGCCAUAGUAUCUCUCCCUGUUCAUUAUUGGUAUGAGCCAUAUCACUGCACCCAGCCAGCACUGCACAUUUUAAGUGUAUGUUCUAUGAGUUUUGAGAAAGGUAUACAUGCAUGUAACCACCUUGCUAAUCAGGAUAUAGACUAUUUCCAUCACCCUCAAGGAGUUCCCUUUUGCAUUUUGCAGUCCAUCAAUCUUCCUCUACCCCUUAGCUCAGACAACCAUGAAUCUACUUUUUGCCAUUAUAGAUUAGAUUUUCCUGUUAUAAAUUUUUAUGCAAAUAAAAUAAUAUACAAAAUACUUAUUUGUGUCUGGCUUCAUUAACAUAGGAUAAUGAUUUUGAGAUUAUUGAUGUCAAUCAGUGUUAUCGUUCAUUAUUUAUUUCAUUGUUGGAUGGUAUCCCAUUAAAUUGAUAUACCACAAUUUGCUCAUCAAUUUACUUUUCUGUUUU